rnacentral:rRNA from 1 species
AUUGAACGCUGGCGGCAGGCCUAACACAUGCAAGUCGAGCGGGGUUUUCGGACCUAGCGGGCGGACGGGUGAGUAAUGCGUAGGAAGCUGCCCGAUAGAGGGGGAUACCAGUUGGAAACGACUGUUAAUACCGCAUAAUGUCUACGGACCAAAGUGUGGGACCUUCGGGCCACAUGCUAUCGGAUGCGCCUACGUGGGAU